rnacentral:tRNA from 4 species
AGAAACUUAGGCUAGUACAGACCAAAGACCUUCAAAGCCUUAAGCGAAGGUUAAACUCCUUCAGUUUCUG